rnacentral:rRNA from 1 species
CAUGCAAGUCGAACGAGAGAUGAGGAGCUUGCUCUUCAAAUCGAGUGGCGAACGGGUGAGUAACGCGUGAGGAACCUGCCUCAAAGAGGGGGACAACAGUUGGAAACGACUGCUAAUACCGCAUAAGCCCACGGCUCGGCAUCGAGCAGGGGGAAAAGGAGCAAUCCGCUUUGAGAUGGCCUCGCGUCCGAUUAGCUAGUUGGUGAGGUAAUGGCCCACCAAGGCGACGAUCGGUAGCCGGACUGAGAGGUUGAACGGCCACAUUGGGACUGAGACACGGCCCAGACUCCUACGGGAGGCAGCAGUGGGGAAUAUUGCACAAUGGGGGAAACCCUGAUGCAGCGACGCCGCGUGGAGGAAGAAGGUCUUCGGAUUGUAAACUCCUGUUGUUGAGGAAGAUAAUGACGGUACUCAACAAGGAAGUGACGGCUAACUACGUGCCAGCAGCCGCGGUAAAACGUAGGUCACAAGCGUUGUCCGGAAUUACUGGGUGUAAAGGGAGCGCAGGCGGGAGAACAAGUUGGAAGUGAAAUCCAUGGGCUCAACCCAUGAACUGCUUUCAAAACUGUUUUUCUUGAGUAGUGCAGAGGUAGGCGGAAUUCCCGGUGUAGCGGUGGAAUGCGUAGAUAUCGGGAGGAACACCAGUGGCGAAGGCGGCCUACUGGGCACCAACUGACGCUGAGGCUCGAAAGUGUGGGUAGCAAACAGGAUUAGAUACCCUGGUAGUCCACACCGUAAACGAUGAUUACUAGGUGUUGGAGGAUUGACCCCUUCAGUGCCGCAGUUAACACAAUAAGUAAUCCACCUGGGGAGUACGACCGC